CAGCAGGCCUGUGUGGGUUCUGGAAAUAGACAGACAUGGAUACAGUUUUGCCUUUCCUAUUUCCUCUGGAUAUUUUCAGAGCCCCCCAGUUACCUCAUCUGAAAAAAAAGGGGAAAACAAGGCCUAUCCCACAGGGCUGUUGUGAUGAUUAAACAGGACUGAAGUAAAGCAUUAAUACAGUGCCUAGCAUAGAAUAUGUGUUCAACAAUUGUAGAUACUGUCUUCAUCAUUACUGAGAGGGUACAUCAAUGACAAUUUGUACACAUUAGGAAUUUGAAUGUUGCAUGAAUAAAUGGAUGGAUGAAUGAAUGGAUGAAUAAGUAGAGGAAUGAAUAAACUUGGAGUUUUCAAGCAGGAGUAAUGGAAGGAUGAUGACUGAUAACGGAAUUGGGAAGGGAAACUGAACAUGUUAGGAGAGAGAAAAUGUUUUGUUCUUAUGGCCUUCUUUGGGGCAAAUUUAACUGUGACCACUAACUCAUAUAUUUCAUGAUCUCCUUCCAAAAUUAACCCGUGAUGCAGACAACACAAAUUCCAUUAUCUCCAUGCUACAGGCAACUGGGUCCACAAAGCCAAACAAUUCACCCAAGUCCCAUAGCCAGUAAACAGCAGGGGGGCACAUCUGACUAGCUGUACAGCUAAAUGACCCUUUGACAGCACUCCUCGGAACCAAACCAUGUCACACAGGACAACGCUGAGUUACAUGUUACCUAAGCCAGAAGAUAGAGACUCCCUAGAUUUCUACUCCAUUUUCCUCCCCAAUAAUACUAAAUACUGCUAAAAAGUCUAGGAAAAUGGGAAAAGAGAAGGGAAAAAAAAAAUCUCUGUGUCGGAUAAAUAGGUUACCAGUGGUCUUGAAGAACAUUUCAGAACUGACAGGAAAACAAGUAGAUUACUGGGAAUUAAGGAAGAACUAGAAAGGAGGAAAAGCAUCUUUGACACCUGGCCUGUACUAUUUCUACCCCGAUUUUAAUGGCACCCCAGCAUCCUUUGAGCCCUCAGCCUCCUCUUGUCUCACCUCACUCAACCUUGGUCCUGGGCUAACCCAACUGUCUGCUUUCUCUGGUCCCACCUGCUGAGGUGUGAAAUCCAGGAUGUCUCGCAGCAGGGUCCACACACAUGAACUAAACUACAUUAGGCACUGGGUGUUUUCAUUUGGUUGUGAAGAGAUAAAAUGAAACAUAAUGGUAAUUAGUAGGCUGCAGAUUUUCUUAAAACUAGGCUGAAGUUGUCCAUAUUUAAAAGCACUAGUAGGGAAGGGCCAAGUGUGGACAUUAAGUCCCUCAGGAGUCAGGAAAGGUGAGGGGAACAGGAGCUUGGAAGGCUCAAUUCCAGAUGUACACAGGAACCCAGAAAGAAGACACACAUAAGAGUCUUUCUUUCAUCCCUAGGUUCUACGCCAGUACCUGCCUUGCAGAUCUCAAACGGAUAGGACCUAGACCCUAAAUGGACUUUCUUUACCUCUCCAGCUCCUCAUUUUCCCCAGAAAUGUCUGCAGCUUGCUCUUAAUCUGAAUACAGCUCUAUCCCAUCCCCCGGUAUCCCUCUCCCCCAAGAAUACCCAGUGAUGCCAGGCCCACCUCCACAGGGCCGAGACCUCCAAGAGCCAGGAAGGAAAGCUACACAGUGUGCCUCACUUAUCCACAAUGAUGGAAUGUCUGCAGGAAGGCAACAGGCACUUGAGUGCAGCCCUGUACUCAAGAACUGCAACCCUUCUGGAGCUAGUAGGAGCCCUAUUUAACAGUCUAUUCCAAGUUCCUGCUGCUUCCUCCCUCCCAUGAAUCAACCAGCAAGUCCCUGGCACUAGGACCCUGCAGAGAGGGAACCCUGAGCCUGCGCUCUAAAGAGAGAGAUGCACCAUUUCACAACUUCAGCAAAAGCCAAAGCAGCCAACAAAGCCACAGCCACCUCGGCUGUGCUGGGCUCUGCCUUUUGGGCAGCUCACCGGCCACUCCCCAGCAGAGCGUUCUGUCCUUUCUCUUUUAAAAGCCACGUCAUCGUCUGAUCAUAAUGGAAAUCAAUCUCCUCAAGUCACCACGCAAAGGCGUCUCCAUGGCAACCUCAAGAGGAAGGACACAGAAAUGAUGCUCCAGUGGCUGAAGCAGAAAAAGGAAACCUGUAGCUCCGAAUGGGUUCAGGGGUGCCUCGGGCGCUCCCAGGAAAGGAGGUGAACCCUUACAGUUCUGGAGGAAUUCGGAGGCGCAAUCACUCGGACCCCGGGAGAAUACCGCCAGGCUGAAGAGCUCAGGUGCUAACCUGAGGCCCCUUCUGAUGGGGAACCUGAACAGGACCCCAAGGACCCCAAAAUUUCCUCCCAACCUGUGAUGCUGAACAGAAGAGAACAUCUGUUCACUUUUGGGUGGACUCCUAGGCACUCUGGAACACGGGAAGUAACCGAGAGGGAAACACCACCCUUUGAAUAAACAAAUUUUGUUUUCCAGAGGGAGGAGGUGGAUUUCAGGCUGAGAGACUUGGAGAGGUAAUUGGAUAAAGGCAGCGAGCAAAUCAAGGGUGACAAAGCCAGGCAUGGGAGAGGACAGAUACAGGGGAGAGAAGCAUCUACAUCAGCCAUACCAGGCUGUCCAAAGGAAAUAAAUGUAGGAGUUGCCCUUGUAGCUCAGUGGAAACAAACCCGACUAGUAUCCAUGAAAACACAGGUUCGAUCCCUAGCUCCACUCACUGGGUUAAACAUCUGGCAUUGCCGUGAGCUGUGGUGUAGGUCGCAGACAUGGCUCUGAUCUGGCAUUGCUGUGGCUGUGGCGUAUGCUUGCAGCUGUAGCUCUGAUUCGACCCCUAGCCUGGGAACCUCCAUAUGCCGAGGAUGUGGCCCUAAAGAGAGAGAGAGAGAGAAAGAAAGAGAGAAAGAGAGAGAGAAAGAAAGAAAGAAAAUGUAAACAUUAAAUUGUCUUGAAUUGAAAAUAUGCUAAUAAAUUUUUAAGAAUUUUUUAGAGAAAAUUAUUAAAAUUAAAUUUCAUAUAAGCCAGCCAUACAUAUAAUGUUAAAUUUUCUAGCAGCUAUAAUUUCAAAAACUAAAAAGAAACAACUUCAAUUAAUUUUAAUAAGUUGUCAAAAUAUUAUCAUUUCAAUAUAAUAAAUAUGAAAAUAUUGAUGAUAUAUUUUACAUCUUUUAUACUAAGUCAUUUGAAAUCCAGUGUGUAUUUCGCACAUACAACACAUUUUUUUGUUUGUUUGUUUUUUGAUGACAGUGUAGAGCAGCUUGAUGUGGGAUCUCAGUUUUCAGAUAAGGGAUUGAACCUGGGCUGCAACAGUGAAAGUGGCAAGUCCUAACCACUGGACCACCAGGGAACUCCCACAUACAGCACAUUUCUAUUGGAUGGUAAAUUUUCAUUGGUAAUACUUGAUCUGGUUUAGAUUUUAUAAAAUUUUACAACUGAAAAGUAAAUUCAUAUAUGCAAAUUAUUUCAAACUCUUUUUUUGGCCAUACCCACAGCAUACAGAAGUUCCUAGGGCAGAGAUCGAACCCUUGCCACAGCAGUGACACACAAGGUCCUUCACCCACUGAGCCACCAGGGGACUCCCUCAAACCUAUUUAGAAGUUUUCCAGUAACUUGUUUAAAUAUACAUUUUUUUAACAUGUAUAUGAAAAUUAAGUAAAAUUUAAAAUUCAGUUCCUCAGUCACAUUAGUCAUAUUUCAAGAGCUCGAUAGCCACAUGUGGCCAGUGGCUUUCUUAUCAGACGGUCUAGAGACAGCACCUCAACUCUUCUUCCCCCUCCUUUAUUAUUCUUUUCUUUUUUUAAUUUUUUUUUUCUGCUGUACAGCAUGGGGACCAAGUUACACAUACAUGUAUACAUUUUUUCCCUCCCAUUGUUGUGUUGUGAUGUAAGUACCUAGACAUAAUUCUUAAGGCUACACAGCAGGAUCUCAUUGUAAAUCCAUUCCAAGAGCAAUAGUUUGCAUCCAAUAACCCCAAGCUCCUGAUCCCUCCCACUCCCUCCACCCCACCCCACACCCCCCACACACACACCCCCACCCCAAGGGGGGGAAGCCACAAGUCUAUUCUCCAAGUCUAAGAUUCCCUCCUUUAUUAUUCUUUUAUGAGAUGAUCUGGCCUUUCAGGAAGGAACCUAAUGUAUAUUGAUUUUUGCCUGGCUCUGUUACCACACACUGGUAGAAUGUGAGGAAACAAAGUGGCCCAGGAAUGUCAGGCCUGUUGUGCCCCAUUUCCUUCUGGGGUAACGUAACAGCAUCAGGAUAGUCCCUCAGGAGACCUGGAAGACAAUGUGAUAAGAAGACCACAAUGAGAUAAGCCAGAAUAACCAUAAAAAUCACUCCUACAGUGGGAACUUAGGACCACACAAGUUCUGUUGUAGAAACCACGGGAAAAACCAUAUCUACAAGUUGGGGACGUUUUUGUUCAAACAGAUCAGAUUCUUGAAAUAAAGUAAGAUUUCAUUAGAUUCUCUAAAAUCAGGACUAGAGAGAUGCUCAAUAUCUGUGAUUCUAACCAACACUGUAUUUUAGGACAUAGCUAACUUGAUAAGGUAAGGAAAAGAUAUGAAGGGCAUAAAGAUUAGAAAGGAGGAAAUUAAACUCAUUUUUCACAGAUAAUAUGAUAACAUACACAGGAAAUGCCAAAAGAAUCUGAAAAUUACUGAAACUGAUUUUGAAAAUAUUUACAAGGUGGCUACAAAUAAAAAAAUCAAUGUAAAAAUCCAUUUCAAUUGUAUAACCAACAAUGAAACAUUAACUAAUAUUUUAAAUAAAAUUGGUGCACCGUA